CAUCCUCGUGCUAGGGUAACACGCACUGUCAUGGGUUGAUUGACAGAUCGGGUGAUGCUGAUGUGUUAGACAGAUGUGCUUCAAAUUUGUGCUGUAUCUCAAUAAUAAGGGGGCCUGACGAAGCGAAAGUUGCGCGAUAUAGACCGUCACCCCAUGUGGUUGAGAACCCCCUGCAUUUCAUCUCUCUGCCUUCCCUUUUGAUGUACUUGCCGGCAUGUGAAAUAUGGAAUAAAGAAGUACCCACAUGUGACAAGAAAUUGGGUCUAUAGGAAGCAAGUUGUACAAACACAUCAGAGCACAUAAAGAAGGCACCCAUUGACUGGAAUAAAGAAGAGGGUCCCCAAGCAACAAGACAACAUCUCUGUCGACUGUGCCGCCAUGCUGCCUAAUUUCUAAGUGACGAAAACUGUGACCAUAGAUCAAAUUUCAUUUUCAUCGCUUGCUAUGGCGCUCUCCCUGUGUGCACUGGAGGAGACUUUCUCCUGAGACUGCGAUGAGUCGGGUUUGUUCUCUUUUGUUGAUUCAUCAUCCAAUGGGUCAUCUAAAAGUAUUAAAU